AUCAACAGGGAAGGUGGGGGACGAGGAUGCAAAUAAAAAGUUCAGCGAGUUCGACUGAACAAGCUGCUUGGCUGAUUAGUCGCUCAUCAAAAUGGAAUUUUCUGUUUUGAUGUUGGACCCUGACGCCAAGAUACAGGUUUCUACACUGCUGUGAACAAGCCCCUCAUUGGAUUUCAAGAAACACCUCCAAGGUCUCCUGAUGUAAGACGCUUGUGAAAUGAUACAGCUUGCCAAAAGCAAACGGCAAUUGAUGGACAAGGGGAGAUGAUAAAACGUCGCCCGAAAGCACGGACGACUCCAUCCAACGCCGCGGAAAUAUCCCAGCAAAUUUGCAUUUCCAAAGCAUUUAUCAAUCACUUUAAAUGGACCCAAGUGUCAUUUCUCGACAGGAGGAAAGGCUUGUACGGAAAUGAAAUGCAUUCUGGCAGGAAUUGUGUCUUGUUGAAGGUCACCGCAAGGUUGCUUCUGGUAUUGUGCUACGUCAAAUACCAACAGCCAAUUUUAAAUUCCAUACAAUUAACGCUUCUCUUAGAUAUAAUAUUAUAUUAUAUAAUAAUCCCCGUGGAGUCAUCACAGCAGUAAGAUGUGGCCCAGUCUGGACCAAAGCUCCUUCCUUUGCCCUCCAAGUCCUUGAAAGCAAGGAUGGAAGGGCGCA